GACGAACGCUGGCGGCGGGCUUAACACAUGCAAGUCGAACGGAAAGGCCCUGCUUGUGUGGGGUGCUCGAGUGGCGAACGGGUGAGUAACACGGGAGUAACCUGCCCUGGACUUGGGGAUAACUUCAGGAAACUGGGGCUAAUACCGGAUAGGAGCUGCUGCUGCAUGGUGGGGGUUGGAAAGUUUCGGCGGUUGGGGAUGGACUCGCGGCUUAUCAGCUUGUUGGGGGGGUAGUGGCUUACCAAGGCUUUGACGGGUAGCCGGCCUGAGAGGGUGACCGGCCACAUUGGGACUGAGAUACGGACCAGACUCCUACGGGAGGCAGCAGUGGGGAAUAUUGCACAAUGGGCGGAAGCCUGAUGCAGCAACGCCGCGUGCGGGAUGACGGCCUUCGGGUUGUAAACCGCUUUCGCCUGUGACGAAGCGUGAGUGACGGUAAUGGGUAAAGAAGCACCGGCUAACUACGUG
rnacentral:rRNA from 1 species